UGCUCACUCGAUUAUUAGGAGAAGAAUGAAUUCAGUUGUCAACGAUUCAUUUGUAGGGGAAACACUAAACGCGAGGAUUGAUAAAUGACGAAAAUGUGAGGGCAACCUCUAUAGAUGUAAGAACACCAUCUCAGGAGCAUGAUGACGUGGCUGGUCUAACCAAACUGUUCGAGGAUUCUGAUGAUAAUGGAGCUAUUAAUGUCAGUGUUGCGAUACUCCCUUCUCAGCUUCGCUUGCAUCUGAGAGCUGGCAUCCAAACACCAAUAGGUGCACCAUCUUAGGGAUCCAUUAAUGUUAAUUUUCUGACAUGCACGUCGUUCUUCACUUGGCCAGCAUGUGAGGGCUCUUGUCUAAACAUUAGCGUCAUAGGACACUUAUGAUGAUGAUAAUGAAGAUGCUGAUGAUUCGUGUGUCACACAGUUUCUAUACAAUUAUCUGUCUGUUUCUUAUUUAAGUAUACAUGUAUG